rnacentral:rRNA from 1 species
CAGAGACUGCAAGCGUUAUUCGGAUUCACUGGGCGUAAAGGGUGCGCAGGCGGUCGUGUGUGUCAGGUGUGAAAUCCCGGAGCUUAACUCCGGAACUGCGCCUGAAACUACAUGACUAGAGCAUUGGAGAGGGAAGUGGAAUUCAUGGUGUAGCAGUGAAAUGCGUAGAUAUCAUGAGGAACACCAGAGGCGAAGGCGACUUCCUGGACAAUUGCUGACGCUCAGGCACGAAAGCAUGGGGAGCAAAAGGGAUUAGAUACCCCUGUAGUCCAUGCCCUAAACGGUGCACACUAGGUCUUGGAGGAUUCGACCCCUUCAGGGCCCAAGCUAACGCGUUAAGUGUGCCGCCUGAGGACUACGGUCGCAAGACUA